rnacentral:misc_RNA from 1 species
GAUGAAGAACGCAGCAAAAUGCGAUAAGUAAUGUGAAUUGCAGAAUUCAGUGAAUCAUCGAAUCUUGAACGCACAUUGCGCCCGCUGGUAUUCCGGCGGGCAUGCCUGUUCGAGCGUCAUUUCAACCCUCAAGCCCCCGGGUUUGGUGUUGGGGAUCGGCUCUGCCCUUCUGGGCGGUGCCGCCCCCGAAAUACAUUGGCGGUCUCGCUGCAGCCUCCAUUGCGUAGUAGCUAACACCUCGCAACUGGAACGCGGCGCGGCCAUGCCGUAAAACCCCAACUUCUGAAUGUUGACCUCGGAUCAGGUAGGAAUACCCGCUGAACUUAAGCAUAUCAAUAAGCGGAGGA